rnacentral:lncRNA from 1 species
AAAUAUCCUUGUUUACGUGGGUAAUCAUGCAGGAUGAUCUUAUGCAUGACUUUCGACGUUGGUGUCCUAGUUUCUAACUUCGUGCUGAACGUUUUCGUGACAUGUGAAUUGGCAUGCAAAACUCUGCACGCAGACAAAGCACUUUUUUAGAAAGUAAAUGCAAGGACAAGUUUGUAAGUAUGUGGCAUCAUGACCGUGAAAUUUGGAGGGCUACGACACCUAUAUCAGUACACAAGCAGAGGCCUGACGAGGACCUUGCACUGAUUGCAACGCUCUAAAGGUUUGUCGUUGCUAUGGCACAAUACCGAUUUCUAAAAUCGCGCGUCUGAUGAUUCUUCGGCAAAAACACGCGGUGAGGGGCUGCGACUGCCGACGCCUCAGCGCAGGGCGCACGGCGGGCGGACAAGGGAGCCCUGCUCUGCCCGGCUGAAUUCGGUGUGUCCCUAUUGAGACAAAAGCCGGGAGGAAGCGCGAUGAGGGCAUUGUAUUGAAAUGUCGGAGGUCUGGAGGAUUGUUGAGAGGGGUUGCAUGGCAAGGCGUUAAGGUGCAUUCAACUGUACACCGGUGCGGCCCGCAAACAGAACCGCAAGACCCGAAGAGCUGUCGAGGCCAGACCCGUUCCAAUCCCCGUACAGCCCCUAACAACCAAAGACGGCCCCCUGCCCCACGCUAAUUGGCGGACCCGAGGCACGGCCAAUGAUCGGGAGCCCAGGAAAAGAGGUCAUAAGAGGGAGUGGGGCUGUCAUAACCGCAAAACAUACCUGGAGGGAACCAUUAUAGAAAGUGAUGCCGCAUGGUUUGGGCGUUUUGGUUCCGACAAUUUGCUAACAUGGAGAGGGUUUGCGGUUAGGUUUGCUAAAAUAGUUACCAGGUCAAUCUGCUUGCUAGUGAAAUUCGGGUGACCCGAUACGAGCGACGGAUGUGUGAUCUGCAUCAUCUGAAGGAAUAGCACUCCAUGCGUGCAUCAUAAUAGCUUUAUAUGUUUUUGAUCGUGCUGCUGGUAGGUCGACGUGAAGCAGGUUUGAAGUUCCCCCAUGAUCGGGAAAGAGCCAAUCAUGUCUGACCCAGUCUCGUCGACCUGUUGCAAGACCGGGGGAGUUUGAACCCUCCGAACGCUUGGAUAUUCGAGAGCAACCCAACAACAAAAUAUUCGGUUGACCCGUCAAUUGCACUUAAGGACUUGACGGAAGCAACGAGAAUGCCUUUUCGGAUCCUUACCUACCAGCACAAACGCUUUCCUGCACCGACAGCAAGACCCAAGCGCGCAACAUCUCUAAUCACAUAAACAGCAAGCGAGCAUAUCCAAAGCCAUCAGAGUUCGGAAACCAUUCAAGUACCCCCUAUCCCCCACGGCUGUUCGCUGGGGUCCUGAAAAUGAGGAAAAGACGACCUCUUAUACGUCUUCCACACGCUCAGUAGCACUUCAUGUCCGGGGACGUAACCCCGUCUGGCUGCAACAAAAAGCAGCAAACCGCGCUUGUACGAACAUCACUUCAUCCUGCGCCCCAACAUACUACGACAGAAAACGUUGUCAUGCAACGUGAAAAACAGCAGUCCAAGAGGGAGAGAAAAACCGUUUCAAAUGCGAAUUUGAUAGCAUCAACAUCGUGCGGUGCAUCCUCCAAUCCUAUCUAGGUCUACGUGCGCCACCUUACUCUUUCCCUUCCGCGGGUUUCUCUCUCCCGACUCUCUUCGUUGGUCUUGGCGGGCUAAGGUACC